rnacentral:rRNA from 1 species
CCCUAUGGGGUGCAGCAGGCGCGAAACCUUUACAAUGCACGAAAGUGUGAUAAGGGGAUCCAGAGUGCCUAUACAUAGUAUAGGCUUUUGCCAAGAGUAAAUAUCUUGGCGAAUAAGUGGUGGGAAAGACUGGUGCCAGCAGCCGCGGUAACACCAGCGCCACGAGUGGCAAUCACAUUUAUUGGGCCUAAAGCGUUCGUAGCGGGUUUGGUAAAUCUCUUGUGAAAUCGACAAGCUCAACUUGUCGGCGUGCAGGAGACACUGCCAGGCUUGAGACCGGGAGGAGUUAGAGGUAUUCUGGGGGAAGCGGUAAAAUGCAAUAAUCCUCAGCAGACCACCUGUGGCGAAGGCGUCUAACUAGAACGGAUCUGACCGUGAGGAACGAAAGCCAGGGGAGCAAACCGGAUUAGAUACCCGAGUAGUCCUGGCCCUAAACUCUGCGAGCUAGGUGUUGCAUAUUCUCCGUGAAUAUGCAGUGUCGAAGCGAAGGUGUUAAGCUCGCCGCCUGGGAAGUACAGUCGCAAGGCAGAAACUUAAAGGAAUUGGCGGGGGAGCACCACGAGGGGUGCGGCGUGCGGUUUAAUCUAACUCCACGCAGAAAAUCUCACCAGAUGCGACGGUAGGAUGAAAGUCACGCUGAAGACCUUACUUGACGAACCGAGAGGUGGUGCAUGGGCC